rnacentral:rRNA from 1 species
CAGAGGGUGCGAGCGUUAAUCGGAAUUACUGGGCGUAAAGCGUGCGUAGACGGUUAUUUAAGUCGGGUGUGAAAGCCCCGGGCUCAACCUGGGAAUUGCAUUCGAGACUGAAUAGCUAGGGUACGGUAGAGGGAAGUGGAAUUUCCGGUGUAGCGGUGAAAUGCGUAGAUAUCGGAAGGAACAUCAGUGGCGAAAGCGACUUCCUGGACCAGUACCGACGUUCAGGCACGAAAGCGUGGGGAGCAAACAGGGAUUAGAUACCCUGGUAGUCCACGCCAUAAACGAUGAGGACUAGACGUUGGAGGGGUAAGCCUUUCAGUGUCGUAGCUAACGCGCUAAGUCCUCCGCCUGGGGAGUACGGCCGCAAGGUUG